GAUGAAGAACGUAGCGAAAUGCGAUAAGUAAUGCGAAUUGCAGAAUUCCGUGAGUCAUCGAAUCUUUGAACGCACAUUGCGCCCUUUGGCAUUCCGAAGGGCAUGCCUGUUCGAGCGUCAUUUCAACCCUCAAGCCCCCGGGUUUGGUGUUGGGGAUCGGCUCUGCCCUUCUGGGCGGUGCCGCCCCCGAAAUACAUUGGCGGUCUCGCUGCAGCCUCCAUUGCGUAGUAGCUAACACCUCGCAACUGGAACGCGGCGCGGCCAUGCCGUAAAACCCCAACUUCUGAAUGUUGACCUCGGAUCAGGUAGGAAUACCCGCUGAACUUAAGCAUAUCAAUAAGCGGAGGA
rnacentral:misc_RNA from 1 species